CGCUCAGGACUCACUGGAGAAGGCUGAGUGCAGCCCCACCUGGCCGCGCUGCAAAGCGAGAGGCUCAAAGCUGGGUCCGCACAGAGGCGCGCAGGCAUCAGCCGGGUGUGGAGCGCGCACACCCACGGCCAGGCUCCUUCUCCUGGUUUCAAGCUUCCUCUGCCACAGGGAAGCCGGGGCCUGCCUACAAAGGUCCUGGGGACCACCCUCCCAGAGCCGCCUCCUGUCCUGGUGUUUGGUCAUCGCCAGAGGGCAGGGCCGGGUGGAAGGAUCUCCCCAAACGGACUAAGAGACCCAGAUUCCAAACGUAGUAAAGUGGCGGACAACAAUCAUAAGCGGCGGGGAAUCUGGAGCUGAUUUUGGGACUAAGGCAGAUAAAUGUGACAGCAGGAGGUGCUGACAAAUGCGCCCUGAAGGUCAGGUUCUGGCAAGUUAUGUUCUGUGCUCAGCUUGUCCUAACUUCCCAUCCCAUUUGACUUUUUGUUGACAUGGGGAAGAAAGAGGAGUUAUUACAGACUGCAGGAACAACUUGCAUGAAUACUGUGAGCAUUGAGAAGCCCGUGGGACUUUGCAUCAAGAGGAACAGCGUCCCACAGAGGAAAGGCAGCCUUCUCUCCUGGACUGAGUGGAACAUGUCUUCCUGACCUGUGAUCCCAGCCUACCACCUCUCUCCCUGUAUCAUUUAGGAUCUUAUGUCAUCUCUUGCUCCAAGACUACUGUAUAUUUGUUGUGCAAAUUAGCACUAAUAUUAGGUUAAAUACCACACACUUUGGGAAAGUGAAUUGUCUGUUAAGCCAACUAUCAAUUAACAAACUCUGAAAUCAAAUACACAGGUUUUUACAGUUUUUUUUCCCCCCUGAAUUAUCCAUGACCAAAAAACCAAAACCAAAACAAAUCAAACA